CUCGAUAUUGAAUCAAGUACGGCGCAUGCGCAAUGGCAACUUUAUCAAAAUUCAAAAAUACAACGUACAAAUGAGUCUGCGAACAUGGUUUAUUUGGAUAUUCUUGAUGCACUUCCAAAUAAUUCUGGAUUUGACGUACUGUGAGAAAAGUAAGAUUGCCAACGAGACUCUGUCCAGCCUCUUGUCUGUGCAAAGCGAGUUGAGCUGCCUUUGCAAUAUCACCACCAGCAACAGCCAGACAAUGUCGAGCUUCCGCUGGACUUGCUCCGGGAAACAUUUCCUGGAGAAGUGCAACCUGAUGCCACGUUGAUUCCUGCUGCAACAACAAUGGAUAUCAAUCUCCAUCGAACGCAUCUGCAGUACGCAUAGGAUGGCAAAUCAGUGAAAUGGAAUCUACUUAGAGCCAAAAUCUAUGGUUCAAUGGCUCUGAACAUUGAUGGGACGCACCGUUUAACCGGUUUUGCUUUAUUUACAUAAAAACAAAACAAUACUUCUUGAAUAACUAACAACCGAUAGUAGGUAAUUAUACCAUACUUGGCGUAUUAUUAUUUAACCAGCCAGGUGAAGAACAGAAUUUUUCAACUAUACGGAUGCUUAUAGAGAAUACAUGUGAGGAAUGUUCACUGUUCUGUCUAUUGAUGUGGAAAGAUUAUGACCUGUGAUGAUCAUGAAUUAUUCCCCUCAUGUAUGCAUUUAUAAGAUAAAAUAUAAAAUAACAGUGUAAAAACUUUUUUUUUUAUUCUCUAAUUAUAUUUAAAGUUAUUAAUUAUAAUCUAUAGACGGCUCAAGUUUAUUUUCAAGUCGUACAGAGGGGAAUUUAAGUUCUUGUGUCAUCUUAUUCAUAAAUAUAAGCAUUGUUCCACCCUGAUGAUUUAAGGUAAUGAGGA